rnacentral:rRNA from 1 species
UCGAACGAAGAGCGAUGGAAGCUUGCUUCUAUCAAUCUUAGUGGCGAACGGGUGAGUAACGCGUAAUCAACCUGCCCUUCAGAGGGGGACAACAGUUGGAAACGACUGCUAAUACCGCAUACGAUCCAAUCUCGGCAUCGAGGAUGGAUGAAAGGUGGCCUCUAUUUAUAAGCUAUCACUGAAGGAGGGGAUUGCGUCUGAUUAGCUAGUUGGAGGGGUAACGGCCCACCAAGGCGAUGAUCAGUAGCCGGUCUGAGAGGAUGAACGGCCACAUUGGGACUGAGACACGGCCCAGACUCCUACGGGAGGCAGCAGUGGGGAAUCUUCCGCAAUGGACGAAAGUCUGACGGAGCAACGCCGCGUGAGUGAUGACGGCCUUCGGGUUGUAAAGCUCUGUUAAUCGGGACGAAUGGCCUUCUUGCGAAUAGUUAGAAGGAUUGACGGUACCGGAAUAGAAAGCCACGGCUAACUACGUGCCAGCAGCCGCGGUAAUACGUAGGUGGCAAGCGUUGUCCGGAAUUAUUGGGCGUAAAGCGCGCGCAGGCGGAUUGGUCAGUCUGUCUUAAAAGUUCAGGGCUUAACCCCGUGAUGGGAUGGAAACUGCCAAUCUAGAGUAU